UCAUCAGGCUCAAUAACAGGGCUCGCCAAGCAGUAAUGCUUGGGGAUAACUUAUCAAAUUCGGUGAAAUCUUCUCUCGACAUAAUGUCGGGAAUGACAACGCCGAGCCAAGAUCUAAUUUUAUUUAGAUAAGGUGUAGAGACUAGAAGGUAGGCUCCAGCUCAUUUUUUUUAAAAAGAAGUUGGAUGAAGGCAUAGUCCAGACCACAAAAUUAAG
rnacentral:ncRNA from 1 species